GACGUGGGGGGCCAGCGUUGCUCGGAAUUACUGGGUGUAGAGGGUUCGUAGGCGGUGUAGCAAGUCGGGAGUGAAAUCUCUGGGCUCAACCCAGAGACUGCUUCCGAAACUGCUGUGCUUGAGUGUGGGAGAGGCGCGUGGAAUUGCAGGUGUAGCGGUGAAAUGCGUAGAGAGCUGGAGGAACACCCGUGGCGAAAGCGGCGCGCUGGACCACUACUGACGCUGAGGAACGAAAGCGAGGGGAGCAAACAGG
rnacentral:rRNA from 1 species